GACGAACGCUGGCGGCGUGCCUAAUACAUGCAAGUAGAACGCAGUUGCGAACGGGUGAGUAACGCGUAGGUAACUGCCUCAUAGCGGGGGAUAACUCUUGGAAACGAUAGCUAAUACCGCAUAUUGUGAGAUGGACCUUCGUUGUAUGAGUUAGUUGGUGGGGUAAAGGCUCACCAAGGCGACGAUACAUAGCCGACCUGGGCGGGAGAACGGCCACACUGGGAACGGGACAAGGCCCAGACUCAUACGGGAGGGCGCAGUAGGGAAUCUUCGGAAAUGGAGGGAAGUCUGAACGAGCAACGCCGCGGGAGUGAAAAAGGUUGUCGGAUCGUAAAGCUAUGUUGUUAGAGAAGCGGUAACGAACCAGGAAGGGACGGCUAACUACGUGCCAGCAGCCGCGGUAAUUC
rnacentral:rRNA from 1 species